AUAUUAAUAAAAAGCAAUAGAAUCUACAAUUCAAAAUUGAGGACAUGAAAAAAAAUUGUUGUCUAAAUUAAAAAUAUGUUCCUAAAUUAUCAGUAAUAUUAUGUGAGAUAAAGAAGAAAAUAAAAAUUGUAUACAGAAAAUAUAUCAAAACAUGGCGUACUGUUAUUCUGAUGAUUGUGGGGAAUUCGCUGUAACUCCGAUGUUGGUCGCUCCUUGUUACCCAUCAAAAUGUUAUGAGGAAACAGUAUCUUAUCCUUGUCUACCACAAUGUCCUAAAGGACGUCUCGUGUACUGUUGCGAGAAAGAUCUUCCCAGGACGCCUCCUAGAUCACCGAUUUCUCGUCUAAAGGAGCGAGUUGAUCAAUGCAAUGAUCCCCAUUGUCGAUUGCACCAUGGUUGCAAUAGUCCCCCUCGAUAUAGAAAUCGUUCGCCACCCCCUACACGUUCCCCACCAUGUACUCCACAAGACUGCUGUCCAACUUGUUGUCAACCAACCUGUAAACCUGUCAAAACUAAAUACGUUAUACCUUGUUAUCGGUAUGAAGAUGGACGAAUUGAACGAUACGUUCCUACACGUCACGGUAGGCUGCCGAUGUCCGCAUACCGGUGGAAUGGGAUGCAGGACCAAAUUCAUAGUUAUAGAGGAGCAAUUCGAUAUUUAUGUGCCGGGACAGGCUUUCACAUGCCUUGUGUAUAUACUGCAGUUGAACCUUUACGCAAACUAUAUCCCAAAAUUACACAGGAAAUGCUGCCUGUUAAAAAGAAAAAUAAAAAGUGAAAACAUUUAUUAUGUUUAUCCACUACCAUCAUCUGCGUUAAAGCGUAAUGGACUGCAAGAUCAAAAUUUUACAGAAAGUGGUAGUGGAAUAUCAUACAUACGUAAAUGUUGGCACAAUGCCAUAUGGGGUUAUCAACCAAUUGGUAUUCCUAUCAAACCUACGAAGAAACUUCCGGCCAAGCAUAAAAAGUGAUGCCUCUCUAAUGUGUACGCAAGUUACCCGUGACUGCCUUCAAGCGUAACGGCAUGCAAGACCAGGAGCACUCGAAGCUACUGGGCACUACAAAUUUCCUCGUCAGGCAUCCUUAUGACGUGUCGAUCGAAUGUGAUGUCUGCACUAAUCCGGUCAAAGUGGGAGAUCCGGCUAAAGUACCUCUAUGUGACGCCAAGCACGUUCUUGGCUGUAGAGCGCUUAGGAAAAAACCUAUAGAAUUGUCCCUUGAAGAUUUAUUAGAUGACUAGAAUUGUUUCUUAUGAUUCUACUUUGAAAAUUACAUGGAAAUAACGAAUUAACACAAAACUUGUGGCAUUUGAGAAAUUGUUGACAUUAAGUAAAGGGUAAGAAACAAACGGGACGCUCUAACCGUAAUCAACCCACUGUUCUGAUGCGACGAGCUUGCGAGGUGGCUAUAGGCACCAAAGCGAAAAGAAAACCAUUCGUCGAGUCCAUGUACUGUGCUGAUUCACACAACGAGGUCCAUCGAUACCGAUCUGAAGAUGAAAGGAUAAGCACUACAGAUUUCCUAUAUUAAUUCGGCCAUGAUUUCACAUGCUUAAAGUAAAAUGAGGGUAGUUUAUACUACACAGAAUUAAAAUUUAUAUCUCUGUAUUAAAAGGCUUAAGACCCCUCAAGAAGAAGCAUA